ensembl:snRNA U6 U6 spliceosomal RNA
AUACUCACCUUCGUAGCACAUACACCAAAAUUGGAACAAUACACAGAUUAGCAUAACCCUUGCACAAGAGUGACAUACAAAUUUAUGAAGUGUUUUAUAUUAAA